GAUGAACGCUGGCGGCGUGCCUAAUACAUGCAAGUCGAGCGAACGGACGAGAAGCUUGCUUCUCUGAUGUUAGCGGCGGACGGGUGAGUUACACGUGGAUAACCUACCUAUAAGACUGUGAUAACUUCGGGACACCGUUGCUAAUACCUGAUAAUUUUUUGAACCGCAUGGUUCAAAAGUAACCGACGGUCUUGCUGUCACUUAUUGAUGGAUCCGCUCUUCAUUAGCUAGUUGGUAUGGUAACGGCUUACCAAGGCAACGAUGCAUAGCCGACCUGAGAGGGUGAUCGGCCACACUGGAACUGAGACACGGUCCAGACUCCUACGGGAGGCAGCAGUAGGGAAUCUUGCGCAAUGGGCGAAAGCCUGACGGAGCAACGCCGCGUGAGUGAUGAAGGUCUUCGGAUCGUAAAACUCUGUUAUUAGGGAAGAACAUAUGUGUAAGUAACUGUGCACAGCUUGAAGGUACCUAAUCAGAAAGCAACGGCUAACUACGUG
rnacentral:rRNA from 1 species